rnacentral:rRNA from 1 species
AUUGAACGCUGGCGGCAUGCCUUACACAUGCAAGUCGAACGGUAACAGGUUAAGCUGACGAGUGGCGAACGGGUGAGUAAUAUAUCGGAACGUGCCCAGUCGUGGGGGAUAACGUAGCGAAAGCUACGCUAAUACCGCAUACGAUCUACGGAUGAAAGCGGGGGAUCGCAAGACCUCGCGCGAUUGGAGCGGCCGAUACCAGAUUAGGUUGUUGGUUAGGUAAAAGCUCACCAAGCCUGCGAUCUGUAGCUGGGCUGAAAGGACGACCAGCCACACUGGAACUGAGACACGGUCCAGACUCCUACGGGAGGCAGCAGUGGGGAAUUUUGGACAAUGGACGCAAGUCUGAUCCAGCAAUGCCGCGUGCAGGACGAAGGCCUUCGGGUUGUAAACUGCUUAUGUACGGAACGAAACGGUGAGCUCUAAUACAGUUUGCUAAUGACGGUACCGUAAGAAUAAGCACCGGCUAACUACGUGCCAGCAGCCGCGGUAA